AACCGUCCGAAAGGAUUGCUAAUACCUCAUGAUAUCAAAAGGAUUAGAUGCCUUUUGAUCAAAGGCGAAAGCCACUUUGGGAGGGGCCUGCGUCCCAUCAGCUAGUUGGUAGGGUAAUGGCCUACCAAGGCUAAGACGGGUAGGGGACCUGAGAGGGUGGACCCCCACACUGGCACUGAAACACGGGCCAGACACUUACGGGUGGCAGCAGUAGGGAAUUUUGGACAAUGGGCGAAAGCCUGAUCCAGCAACGCCGCGUGCGCGAUGAAGGCCUUCGGGUUGUAAAGCGCUUUUAGAGGAGAUGAGAAAGGACAGUAUCCUCUGAAUAAGCCUCGGCGAACUACGUGCCAGCAGCCGCGGUAAAACGUAGGAGGCAAGCGUUAUCCGGAUUUAUUGGGCGUAAAGCGUGUGCAGGCGGUUUGGUAAGUUGGAUGUGAAAGCUCCUGGCUUAACUGGGAGACGUCGUUCAGAACUGCCAGACUAGAGAAUGGGAGAGGGAGGUGGAAUUCUGGGUGUAGUGGUGAAAUGCGUAGAUAUCCAGAGGAACACCAGUGGCGAAAGCGGCCUCCUAGACCAUUUCUGACGCUAAGACACGAAAGCUAGGGUAGCAAACGGGAUUUAGAGACCCCGGUAGUCCUAGCUGUAAACGAUG
rnacentral:rRNA from 1 species